AUACCAUGAUGCUGGCAUUUACUUAUUAACUCUUUGAAUCUCUCCCAUGCAUCAUACAACGAUUCUCCUUCCGUCAGGUAGAAAUUAUUAAUUUCCUCUCUCAACUU